AGAGGAAAGUGAGCUCUGGGUUAAGAAGCUGCGGGUGUGCGCCGCCUGAGUGCACUCAGUACCUGUAAUGCCUGUGGUGCCGGCCGGGAGGGUCGGGCCCAGGAGAAGGCAGACUAGCCCCUGCCCUGCCCAACUUCAGUCCAGCCAAAGAGAAGUAAACGAGGGAGUGGGUGUUAGAGUGCAUUCCUUCUACUUAUAAAAAACAGUUAACUGUCAGCCUCAGGCAGGCCUUUCAGGAGGUAUUCCAGAAGAUAGCAUUGUCAUCAUAGGAGAUGACAGCUCCGGGUGUGUUAUUGGCCCUGAAGACCUUCCAAUGGGACAAGAAGUGGAGGUGGAAGACAGUGACAUUGAUGAUCCUGACUCUGUAACCCCUCCCUUCUCCUGCUGACAGCAUUCCCUACUUCUUUUUGGGAACUAUUUCUUUACCCAGCUCUGCCAGGGAUGGGCAGAUUAUGUAAAUGUGGUCAUUCAGCAUCCUUUUGAGAUUUUCCAAAUAGAAAUUAAGAAAAAAGACUCUUUUACCUGAAGUUGAAGCAGAAAGAUGCUAGUGCCCAUGACUCCACUCUUCUAGACGAUGCUGGUCUGAGAGAAGGAGGCCAUCUUGCUGAGGAAAGCAGAGAUCUUGGGACCUUGCCACUUUCUAGUCAGUGGCAUGUUGGAGAUCAAGCCAAGGAUUUUUACUUUGUAUAUGAAUGAGGAAGAUAGAAGAUAGUGCAAGAUGCUAAGUUUGAAACUCUAAGGAAAAGAAAAGCUCACAUAAGACCUGGCUAGUCAGCACUCCACUGCAUUUCUCAAGCGUUCCUUUGGAAAUUAUUUAGCCAAUGAGCCUCCACUGGAGAACAAAUGACAAACAUGGAGGAAAUGUUUAUGUAGUAACAUAUAGAAAAACAUUCUCACUAAUCAAAACGAUGCACAGUGAAACAGUGAUGAAUAGUCUUUCUUGGAUCUUCAACUCAGCUGUGUACAUACCCUAAAUAUGCAUGUUCCAAUUCAUAAGGGUGAGCCACUGAUUCCAGCUUGAGUUCAAAGGAAUUGCCUGGGAAUUCACAGUUCUUGUUUUUCUUGUCUGGAAGUCUUUACGAGAGCAAUUAGGCAAAAAAAGAAACAAGACAUCCAGAGAGAAAAGGAAAAGGUGAAAUUGUCACUGUUUGUUGAUGACAUGGUCUUAUAUAUAGAAAAAUUUUCUUAUAUAUAGAAAAAUCUAAAGAUUCAAAAAAACUAUUGAAACUAAUAAAUAGAUUAAAUAAAGUUGCAGGAUGCAAAAUCAACACACAAAAAUCAGCAUUUCUAUACACUAACAACAGUCUAUCUGGAAAAGAAAUCAAGAGAACAAUCCCAUUGACAAUAGCCACCAAAAAAAAAAAAAAAGCUUAGGAAUAAAUUUAACCCAGGAGAAGGGCCUAUACACUGAAAACUAUAAAAUGUUAAUGAAAAAAUCAAAGACACAAAUGGAAAGAUACCCCUUCCAAUCAAUUCAUCAAUUGGAAGAAUUAAUAUUGUUAAAAUGUCCAUACUACCCAAAGCAAUAUACAGAUUUGAAGCAAUCCCUAUCAAAAUUACAAUGUCAUUUUUUUAUAGAAUAGAAAAGAUAGUCUAAAACUGAUAUGGAACCAGAAAAAUUUUGAAUAGUAAAGGCAAUCACUAACAAAAACAGCAAAGCUGGAGGCAACACAAUACCUGAUUUUAAACUAUACUACAAAGCUAUGGUAAUUUAAACAGCUUGGUACUGCCAAAAAAAUACACACAUUGACCAAUACAACAGAAUAGAGACCCAAGAAAUGGCUACAUGUAUGUAAGGUCAAUUGAUUUUCAGAAAAAAAAGUCAAGAAUACACAAUGGGGAAAGGAUAGUCUCUUCAAUAAAAGAGUCUUGUAAAAACUGGGCAUCCAUAUAUAGAAGAAUUAAAUUGGACUCAUAUCAUAUGCAAAAAUCAACUCAAAAUGGAUUAAAGACUUAAAUGUAAGACUCGAAAUUGUAAAAGUACUACAGGUUGAGUAUCCCUCAUUCAAAAUACUUGGGACUGGAAGUGUUUUGGAUUUUGUUUUUUAUUCUGGAAUAUUUGCAUUACAUUUAAUGGUUGAGCAUCUCUAACCCAAACAUCCAAAAUCCAAAAUACUCCAGUGAGAAUUUCCUUUGAGCGUCACGCCAAAACUAAAAACGUUUCAGAUUUUGGAGCAUUUCAAAUUUCAGAUUUUCAGAUUAGGGAUACUAAUUUUUUUUUCUUUUUCUUUUUCUUUUUUUUUGAGACAGAGUCUUGCUCUGUCGCCAGGCUGGAGUGCGGUGGCGUGGUCUCAGCUCACUGCAACCUCUGCCUCUUGAGUACAAGUGAUUCUCCUGCCUUAGCCUCCCAAGUAGCUGGGACUAUAGGCAUGCACCACCAUGCCCAACUAAUCUUUUGUAUUUUAGUAGAGACGGGGUUUCAUCAUGUUGGAUAGGAUGGUCUUGAUCUCCUGACCUCGUGAUCUGCCUACCUUGGCCUCCCAAAGUGCUGGGAUUACAGGCAUAAGCCACUGCACCCGGCCUAGGGAUACUAAAUAUAGAAUAAAAUAAAAGGGAAAAACUACCUUACAUUGAUCUGGGCAAUAGUUUUUUGGACUUUUUUUUAACCCCCAGUGCUCAGGCAACAAAAGUAAAAAUAGACAAAUGGGACUGUAUCAAACUAAAAAGGUUCUUCACUGCAAAGAAAACAUUUAGCAGUGUAAAGAGACAACCUAUGGAUUGGGAGAAAAUAUUUGCAAGCUAUACUUCCAAUAAGGGGCUAAUAUCCAAAAUAUGUAAGGAACUCAACUCAAUAGCAAGAAAACAAAAAAAAAACUCAACUAAAAAAUGGGCAAGGGACCUGAAUACACAUUUCUCAAAAGAAGAUAUAUAAAUGGCCAACAGAUAUAUGAGAAAAUGCUCAACAUUGCUCAUCAUUCAGAAAAUCCAAAUUAAAAUCUCCAUAUCAUCUCACACUUGUCAGAAUGGCUAUUAUCAAAAAGCUGAAAGAGAACAAGUGUUAGGAAGAUUUGUGGAAAAGAGGGUCCCUCUUGUAUACAGUUGGUAGAAAUGUAAAUUAGUACAGUCUUUAUGGAAAACUAUGAGGUUUCCUCAAAAAUCUAAAAGUAUAAUUACCGUAUGACCUAGCAGUUCCACCUCUGGGUAUUGACUCAAAAUAUUUGAAAUCAGUUUGUCAAAAAGAUGUCUGCACUCCCAUGUUCCUUGCACUGCUAUUCAAAACAGCCAAGUUAUAGAAUUAAUCUAGAUGUUCAUCAACAGAUGACUGGAUUAACAAAAAAGUGGUGUAGAUAUACAAAAUGGAAUAUUUUUCAGCCUUAAAGAUUCUGUCAUUUGUGACAAUAUAGAUGGAAUUGGGAAACAUUAUGCUAAGUGAAAUAAGCAGGCACAGAAAGAUAAAUACUGCAUAUUCCCACUUACAUGUAGAAUCCAAAACAAUUGAACUCAGAAGCAGAGAACAGAAUGGUGGUUACAGAGGCUGGAGGGUGAGAAGAAUGUGGAGAUGAUGGUCAAAGGGUACAAAAUCUCAGGAGAAAAAAGUGUUAUUUUUUCUUGAGAGCUAUUGUACAGUAUGAUAAAUAUAGUUAAUAAUAGUGUAUUCUACAUUUCAAAAUUGCUAAGAGUAAAUUUCAAAUGUUCUCAUCACAAAAAACAUUUGAGGAGAUAUGUUAAUUAGCUUGAUUUAAUUAUUGCACAUUAUAUUCAUAAAUCAUAAUAUCACUUUGUACCCCAUAAAUACAUGCAUUUAUAAAUUGUCAAUUUACCAAAAAAUGGAAAGAUACAUUUGGUUUGAGAUGAACCUGUAGUGGGCUCCCCUCCCCACUCCCACAGAAGGAAACUAGAUAUUUGUCUACUAAUCAGUGAGGAAAACUGCAUGUUUAUAGGGAAGUGAGGUUGGCAUGUUAUAGUUAUGAAAUCUGCUGGGUGGCUUGGAUAGUAUCUUGUUGGAGAAAGGACUCCUAGUCAGGUUUUAGGCCUAAUCCUGCUCGUAAGAUACUUGCCCUGGAAAAAUCACUGAUGUCCAUAAGUCUCUUUUCUAUAAUUUGAAAAUUGGGCAUUAAAAUAGCUGAGCUUCAGAGUCCCUUUCAGGUCUGUCAUCCUAAAAUUAUGUAAUUCGUGAAUCACAAUAAUUUCAGAAAACAUAAGUACAUUUUUCCUCCAUAUGGGGCCAACAUCCAUAAUUCUGAAACACUAUUAUUAAAGAAGAUAAAAUAGAAAGAAAAAAACAGGUUCCAUGGCUAUUUUAAGGGUCUAUUGGCAUAACUCCAUGAAGCAUUUUGGUAAGUGACCUUGUUGUAGUUCUGCAGCUUUAAACUUCAAGAAAGUUUUCAGACCAAGCUGUAUCACCCUUGGAGAGGGGGUGGCUGAAGGAGAAAAAUGGUUAUUAUGUCUAAGCCUCUGUACACUGCACUGAACUCGGAGGUGACGUUGUACAUUGUCUGGGCCAGAGAUUGAUGAGAUGCACCUGACUCAGAUGAAGACAUAUCCUGAUUAGUCUAUAGACAGAACUACUGGAGGGGAUUAAUCAAGCUUCACAUGACCCUCACUUACUUGGACUUAGCCACAUCUGUGCUUCCUUCCCCUCCCCUCCAUCAGAAUCAGGGAGGGGGUUCUAGAAGCUUGCCUCUGCAUGUUUGCUCUAAAAAAUAAUGCUAAGUUCUGUGUCUUUCCUUUUGUACCCUUUAGAGAAUUGAACUUUGUCUGAAAACCCCAAGAAAGACUAUGUCAGAUAUUUCGUGUAGUCUGAAACUGUAAUUGAACUUAACAGUACAGUGGUUGCUUAUGUAAAAAUGAAGGAAUCCAGCCGGGCACGGUGGCUCAUGCCUGUAAUCACAGCACUUUGAAAGGCCGAGGUGGGUAAAUCACGAGGUCAGGAGUUUGAGACCACCCUGGCCAAUAUGGUGAAACCCUGUCUUUACUAAAAACAAAAAUUAGCAGGGUGUGGUGGCCUGCACCUGUAGUCCCAGCUACUUGGGAGGCUGAGGCAGAAGAAUCACUUGAACCUGGGAGGUGGAGGUUGCAGUGAGCCGAGAUCGCACCACUGCACUCCAGCCUGGGUGACAGAGUGAGAUUCUGUCUCAAUAAAUAAAUAAAAACAAUCCAAUAAUUUAUUCUUGGUCUAGUAUAGAAAAAAAGCAUAUGUUGAGGCAACCAAGAAUUGAGUAGCAAAUGAAACAUUAGAAUUUCCCGUGAGAACAAAUACUACAUGAAGUGAAACUGGGCCUCCAAAGCUUUAUCUUAAGGAUAGCAAGAAAUAACCAACAGUAAAUCCCAUACAUUGAGAAGAGCCAGCAGGAGGCAGCAGAUCUCAUUGACUAGGGGAAGCACUUGCCCUACAGUAGAUCUGAGGUCGUAUUUCUUUUCUAAGUCAUAUUUUUUUUUCAUUUCAAUUAUAUGAAUUGAAUCAAUCUACUUCAUGGGUUUCUCUACUUUGCAUUCACUUUUGAAGGAUAUCCUCCCUGCAUGUGAAAUUUUAGGAAGAAAGUUUUGUAGGAGUUUUUUCAGCACUUUACACAUGUUGUUCCUUUGUCUUGGGUCCUCCAUCAUUUUUUGUUUGCAUUGUGUUUUUGUUUUUGUUUUUGACACGGGGUCUCACUCUCGCCAGGGCUGGAAUGCAGUGGUAUGAUCAUCGCUCCCUACAACCUUGGCCUCCUGGGCUCAAGCGAUUCUCCCACUUGAGCCUCCCAAGUCGCUGGGACUACAGGUGUGUACCACCAUGUCCAGCUAAUUUUUGUAUUCUUUGUAGACGAGGUUUCACCAUGUUGCCCAGGCUGAUUUUGAACUCCUGGACUCAAGCAAGCCACCUGCCUCGGUCUCCCAAAGUGCUGGGAUUACAGGUGUGAACCACCAUGCCUGGCCAGGUCCUCCAGUGUUUCUGAUGAAAAAUCAACUGCCAUUCUUCUCAUUGUUCCUUUUUGUGUAUUGUGACUAUAUUUUUCAGGUUAUUUUAAAGACUUUUGUUUGUUUUAAAAAAGGCUUUGGUCUUCAGUAGUUUGACAUAAUGUGCCUAUGUAUGGUUUUCCUUGUGUUUAUCUUGCUCAGGAUUGUUGAAAUUUUUGGAUUGUAGGUUGAUUUGUUUUUAACAAUUUAGAAAAAUAUUUGCUAUUAUUUUUUCAAACAUUUUUUUUUGCUCCAGUCUAUCUCUUCUCUCUCUUUUCAGUUAUAUGUAUAUAUUGCUUUAUGUUGUUCCAUAUGUCUCUGGGAUUCUUCUUAUUGAUUAUUUUCUCUUUGUAAUUCAGUUUGAAUAGUUUCUGUUUACUUGUUUCAGUAAAUAAUCUUUCUUUUACAGCAUCCAAUCUGCUAUUAAUCCCUUCAAGUACAUAUUUCCUUUCAGAUGUACUUUCAAUUCUAUAAUUUCCAUUUGAUUUUGUUAUAGUUUCCAUUUUUCUGCUGAGAUUUCCGCAUCUGCUCACUUAUUAUGCGUAUAGUUUUCUUGAAACCCUCAAGUAUAUUUAUAAUAGUUGUUUAAAAAUAUUUUUCUGCUAAUUUAAACAUCUGUGUCAUCUUGAAUCUGUUUUCAUUUAGGUGUGUGCAUGUAUAAUUAACACUAUUUUUGCUAUUCUUGUAUUUAGUGGUUUUUUUUUAAAUCAUACAUUAGAUGUAUCAAUUGCUAUGUUAAAGAAAGUCUGGAUUAUGCCAUCUCCUUCAAAAGGUGCUGAGUUUUGUACUAGCAAGUAGUUAAUUUACUAGUGAGUCAUUUUGAUCCUGGGGUGACUUGGCUUUAGGCUUCUUUAGAGCAAGUCUAGAGUAGCCCUCACUCUGUGCUAUGGUCUUCAGUCCUAAAGAGUGUGGCCUUUCUACCAUUCGAUUGUUUACAUUGAGUGUUCAGCAAAGCCUUCACUUUGGCUGGUAGGAAUCCCAAUAUCUCCUAGUUUUGUGCAAGCUCUUGCAUUUUCAUCCAGCUAGAGCACCGCCCCCCACAACCCCAGCAGCGAUUCCAUGCCAUGUCCUUGUAGAGUCUUCUUACAUGUUUGUGCAACUUAGUUUUCACCCAAAAAACCAAGGAGACUUCUACACAUAUUUAUGGGGCUGCUUGUUUACAGAUCUGCCUCAUUAGUACCACAGAUUUGAGCUACCCCAGCAUUACCAACCUCUAGUCUGUGUUUUCUCCGUCCAGCAUGACCACUGCCUUUUGUGUUGCCCUCAAGCAGAACCUAUGAUGAAUAUUGAGCUCACCUCCUGUGUUUUCUUCUUAAGGAUCACUGCCUUGUGCUACUUCUUAUCCAACAUCUAAAAAUUGAUGCUUUACGUAUUUGUACGUUUUUAGAGUUAUUCAUUUGGAAAGUAAGUCCAAAAUUCAUUAUUCAUCAUAGCCAAAGCCAUAAUAUUAUGUGUCUCUCUAGAUCUAUCUCAUUUAUGCCUUGUGUCUUCUAUCAAAAGCAUUUGGCUUUGAUACUAGACCUUGUCCUGAUACAAGACUGUGCUCAUCAGGUAGAAACUUGGAAAAUAAAUAUCCUUUUUCCUUUCAGCUCUGAUUCUUUUUCUUUUUUAUUUACAUAUAGAUAUUCAAAGUGAUCAUAUUUUUUUUGCCCUUACAUACUUGAGUAGGAUUGGUAUUUAAUUGUGGAGCUUAUUAUAAUGAUUCUCAAUGACUUCAGCAGAGGUUUUUGUUUUGUUUUGAUUUAUUUCGUUUGUCCUAGAAUAUUAUGUGGGCACUUACUAGAAAUAAGUAAACCAUGGCCCAGGCCUUGAAAAACUUUUUGCUAGUGUUUGAUGAAAUAAAAAUUAACCUGGUGUAUCUUUUUA